rnacentral:rRNA from 1 species
CCUACGGGAGGCUGCAGUGAGGAAUAUUGGUCCAUGGGCGUAAGCCUGAACCAGCCAAGUCGCGUGAGGGAUGAAGGUUCUAUGGAUCGUAAACCUCUUUUAUCAGGGAAUAAAGUGUGGGACGUGUCCUGUUUUGUAUGUACCUUAUGAAUAAGGAUAGGCUAACUCCGUGCCAGCAGCCGCGGUAAUACGGAGGAACCGAGCGUUAUCCGGAUUUAUUGGGUUUAAAGGUAGGGUAGGCGGCCUUUUAAGUCAGCGGGGAAAGUCUGUGGCUCAACCAUAGAAUUGCCGUUGAAACUGGGAGGCUUGAGUAUGUUAGAGGCAGGCGGAAUGCGUGGUGUAGCGGUGAAAUGCUUAGAUAUCACGCAGAACCCCGAGUGCGAAGGCAGCCUGCCAAGCCAUGACUGACGCUGAUGCACGAAAGCGUGGGGAUCAAACAGGAUUAGAUACCCCAGUAGUC